UCCGUGGUUUUUCCUCUCAGACUACGUACAUUUUGUUCAAACCCUUUAUGUUGGCAUGGAACAGGGAUGUGCAUCCGAUGCAUGGGAGUAUGAGGCCACCACUGAAUUCACCUGAACACUCGGCGCAUUUAGACAUGCUGGAGUAAAUUUGGAGGCACUGGAAAGCCAAAACCACUUGAAAACUUUUCAGUGAAUAUCACUUUAGUCCUAGUUGGAUAGAAAGUUCAAUAACUGCACAGAAUCUUCACUUUUCUUGUCGAGACAUAACUUUUAGUUUUAGGUGUAUGUUGGUGCAGUUUAAAAAAUUUUCUAAACACUUUUAGCAGCACUUUUGUGUUGAAAAAAGCCGGAGCGAAAGAUCUACGCGCCAGCUUAGUUAGCCCUUCAG